GCCGGGUGUGGUGGCUCACACCUGUAAUUCCAGCAGCUCGGGAGGAGGCUGAGGCAGGAGGAUCGAGAGUUCAAAGCCAGCCUCAGCAACUUAGUGAGCCCUAAGCAACUCAGUGAGACCCUGUCUCUG
rnacentral:sRNA from 1 species